GACGAACGCUGGCGGCGUGCUUAACACAUGCAAGUCGAGCGGUAAGGCCCUUCGGGUACGACGAGCGGCGAACGGGUGAGUAACACGUGGGUGACCUGCCUCUAGCUCUGGGAUAAGCCUGGGAAACUGGGUCUAAUACCGGAUAUGACUCCACGGCGCAUGUUGUGGGGUGGAAAGCCUUGUGUGGCUAGAGAUGGGCCCGCGGCCUAUCAGCUUGUUGGUGGGGUGAUGGCCACCAAGGCGACGACGGGUAGCCGGCCUGAGAGGGCGACCGGCCGACACUGGGACUGAGACACGGCCCAGACUCCUACGGGAGGCAGCAGGUGGGGAAUCUUGCGCAAUGGGCGAAAGCCUGACGCAGCGACGCCGCGUGAGGGAUGACGGCCU
rnacentral:rRNA from 1 species